UACGUAGGGUGCGAGCGUUAAUCGGAAUUACUGGGCGUAAAGCGUGCGCAGGCGGUUUUUUAAGACAGGCGUGAAAUCCCCGGGCUUAACCUGGGAACUGCGCUUGUGACUGGAAGGCUAGAGUACGGCAGAGGGGGGUGGAAUUCCUGGUGUAGCAGUGAAAUGCGUAGAUAUCAGGAGGAAUACCGAUGGCGAAGGCAGGUCUCUGGGCUGACACUGACGCUCAUGCACGAAAGCGUGGGGAGCAAACAGG
rnacentral:rRNA from 1 species